AUGAUCCUCCAGGGAACCUUG
rnacentral:misc_RNA from 1 species